rnacentral:pre_miRNA from 1 species
UGAGGUAGUAGGUUGUAUAGUAGAGUUACAUCACUAAACAGACGAACUGUACAGCCUUCUAGCUUUCC